rnacentral:tRNA from 1 species
GGAUGGUAUCCGGUUGGAUGAGGAAGCUGUUUGCUAAACAGUUGGCCCUAAAAGGCUUGUGAGUUCGAAUCUCGCACCAUCCU